UGCCAGACUCCUACGGGAGGCAGCAGUGGGGAAUAUUGCACAAUGGGGGAAACCCUGAUGCAGCAACGCCGCGUGAGUGAGGAAGUAUUUCGGUAUGUAAAGCUCUAUCAGCAGGGAAGAAAAUGACGGUACCUGAGUAAGAAGCCCCGGCUAACUACGUGCCAGCAGCCGCGGUAAUACGUAGGGGGCAAGCGUUAUUCGGAUUUACUGGGUGUAAAGGGAGCGUAGACGGCAGUGCAAGUCUGGAGUGAAAGGCGGGGGCUCAACCCCCGGACUGCUCUGGAAACUGUACGGCUGGAGUGCAGGAGAGGUAAGUGGAAUUCCUAGUGUAGCGGUGAGAUGCGUAGAUAUUAGGAGGAACACCAGUGGCGAAGGCGGCUUACUGGACUGUAACUGACGUUGAGGCACGAAAGUGUGGGGAGCAAACAGGAUUAGAUACCCGUGUAAG
rnacentral:rRNA from 1 species